GUGGGGAAUCUUGCGCAAUGGGCGAAAGCCUGACGCAGCCAUGCCGCGUGAAUGAUGAAGGUCUUAGGAUUGUAAAAUUCUUUCACCGGGGACGAUAAUGACGGUACCCGGAGAAGAAGCCCCGGCUAACUUCGUGCCAGCAGCCGCGGUAAUACGAAGGGGGCUAGCGUUGCUCGGAAUUACUGGGCGUAAAGGGCGCGUAGGCGGACAGUUUAGUCAGAGGUGAAAGCCCAGGGCUCAACCUUGGAAUUGCCUUUGAUACUGGCUGUCUUGAGUUUGGGAGAGGUGAGUGGAACUCCGAGUGUAGAGGUGAAAUUCGUAGAUAUUCGGAAGAACACCAGUGGCGAAGGCGACUCACUGGCCCAAUACUGACGCUGAGGCGCGAAAGCGUGGGGAGCAAACAGGAUUAGAAACCCCUGUAGUCC
rnacentral:rRNA from 1 species